AGCAGCCGCGGUAAUUCCAGCUCCAAUAGCGUAUAUUAAAGUUGUUGCAGUUAAAAAGCUCGUAGUUGAAUUUUGGGUCUGGCCGGGCGGUCCACCUUCCGGUGAGCACUGUUCCGACGCCGGGCCUAUCCUUCUGGUGAGACGGCAUGCCCUUCGUUGGGUGUGUCGGGGAACCAGGACCAUUACCUUGAAAAAUUAGAGUGUUCAAAGCAGGCAUUUGCUCGAAUACAUUAGCAUGGAAUAAUGAAAUAGGACGUGUGGUACUAUUUUGUUGGUUUCUAGGACCGCCGUAAUGAUUAAUAGGGAUAGUUGGGGGCAUUAGUAUUCAAUUCGUCAGAGGUGAAAUUCUUGGAUUUAUUGAAGACUAACUUCUGCGAAAGCAUUUGCCAAGGAUGUUUUCAUUAAUCAAGAACGAAAGUUAGGGGAUCGAAGACGAUCAGAUACCGUCGUAGUCUUAACCAUAAACUAUGCCGACUAGGAAUCGGGCGAAGUUAUUUAACGACUCGC
rnacentral:rRNA from 1 species